AGGAGUUAAAAGUUGUAAACAUUUCCACAGAAAUGUCAGAUACUUUUCUCUCAUUCAGAAAUGACUUCAGAAAGAACAAAGAGCUUUUGAAAAAUUUGACAACUGAGGUUUUCAGUAUUUGGAAGGAGCUCAGAGAGAAUGAUGAAGAAGAAACAGAACGGGGAGACAAGAGGUAGGAAGGAUAAAAGGAAACAAAAGGAGAAGAAGAGGAAACGGUGACCAGACAGGAAAUGAGGAAGUGAUGCCAAACAAAUAGACCCACUUCACAGUCUCUCUCUGCCAGUUGGGAAGAGGU